GGGCGUGGUGUCAUUUGGCGAUCACUCUGCAAAAGUGAUAUUAUGGGGAUUUUCCCCAUCCCGCCUU
rnacentral:tRNA from 1 species